rnacentral:rRNA from 1 species
AUACGGAGGAUGCGAGCGUUAUCCGGAUUUAUUGGGUUUAAGGGGAGCGUAGGUGGGAUAUUAAGUCAGCUGUGAAAGUUUGGGGCUCAACCUUAAAAUUGCAGUUGAUACUGGUUUCCUUGAGUACGGUACAGGUGGGCGGAAUUCGUGGUGUAGCGGUGAAAUGCUUAGAUAUCACGAAGAACUCCGAUCGCGAAGGCAGCUCACCGGGCCGGAACUGACACUGAUGCUCGAAAGUGCGGGUAUCAAACAGGAUUAGAUACCCUGGUAGUCCGCACAGUAAACGAUGAAUACUCGCUGUUUGCGAUACACGGUAAGCGGCCAAGCGAAAGCGUUAAGUAUUCCACCUGGGGAGUACGCCGGCAACGGUGAAACUCAAAUGAAUUGACGGGG